rnacentral:rRNA from 1 species
UACGAAGGGUGCUAGCGUUGCUCGGAAUCACUGGGCGUAAAGCGCACGUAGGCGGAUUGUUAAGUCAGGGGUGAAAUCCUGGAGCUCAACUCCAGAACUGCCUUUGAUACUGGCGAUCUCGAGUCCGGGAGAGGUGAGUGGAACUGCGAGUGUAGAGGUGAAAUUCGUAGAUAUCACUUGGAACGCCAAUGGUGAAAACAGAUAGCUGGGGUUGUGCUGACACUGAGACACGAAAGCCAGGGGAGCAAACGGG